rnacentral:rRNA from 1 species
GAUACCCUGGUAGUCCACGCCGUAAACGAUGAGUGCUAAGUGUUAGAGGGUUUCCGCCCUUUAGUGCUGCAAGUUUAACGCAUUAAGCACUCCGCCUGGGGAGUACGGCCGCAAGAUUGAAACUCAAAGGAAUUGACGGGGGCCCGCACAAGCGGUGGAGCAUGUGGUUUAANUUCGAAGCAACGCGAAGAACCUUACCAGGUCUUGACAUCCUCUGACAACCCUAGAGAUAGGGCUUUUUCCUUCGGGAACAGAGUGACAGGUGGUGCAUGGUUGUCGUCAGCUCGUGUCGUGAGAUGUUGGGUUAAGUCCCGCAACGAGCGCAACCCUUGAUCUUAGUUGCCAUCAUUNAGUUGGGCAUCUCUAAGGUGACUGCCGGUGACAAACCGGAGGAAGGUGGGGAUGACGUCAAAUCAUCAUGCCCCUUAUGACCUGGGCUACACACGUGCUACAAUGGACAGGUACAAAGAGGCUGCGAGACCGCNGAAGGUGGAGCCUAAUCCUCACUAAAUCCGUUCUCAGUUCGGAUCUGUCAGUCUGCAACUCGCCUACAUGAAGCUGAAUCGCUAGUAAUCGCGAUCACUACACCCGGUGAUUAUU